rnacentral:rRNA from 1 species
AAUCAACGCUGGCGGCGUGCCUAACACAUGCAAGUCGAACGCGAAAGUCCCGCAAGGGAUUAGUAGAGUGGCAAACGGGUGAGUAACACGUGGGUGACCUGCCUUCGAGCGGGGGAUAACAUCCCGAAAGGGAUGCUAAUACCGCAUGACAUCCUGCCUUUUAAGAGGCGGAGAUCAAAGCCGGGGAUCGCAAGACCUGCGGACUCGAAGAGGGGCCCGCGCCCGAUUAGCUAGUUGGGAGGUAACGGCUCACCAAGGCAACGAUCGGUAGCCGGCCUGAGAGGGCGGACGGCCACACUGGGACUGAGACACGGCCCAGACUCCUACGGGAGGCAGCAGUGGGGAAUUGUUCGCAAUGGGCGCAAGCCUGACGACGCAACGCCGCGUGGAGGAUGAAGACCUCGGUC